rnacentral:rRNA from 1 species
UACGUAGGGUGCAAGCGUGGUCCGGAAUUAUUGGGCGUAAAGAGCUCGUAGGCGGUUUGUCGCGUCGAAUGUGAAAACCCGGGGCUCAACCCCGGGCCUGCAUUCGAUACGGGCAGACUAGAGUUCGGUAGGGGAGUCUGGAAUUCCUGGUGUAGCGGUGAAAUGCGCAGAUAUCAGGAGGAACACCGGUGGCGAAGGCGGGACUCUGGGCCGAUACUGACGCUGAGGAGCGAAAGCGUGGGGAGCAAACAGG